UACGUAGGGGGCAAGCGUUGUCCGGAAUUAUUGGGCGUAAAGAGCGCGUAGGCGGCCCGAUAAGUCCGCUGUAAAAGUCAAAGGCUCAACCUUUGAAUGCCGGUGGAUACUGUCGGGCUAGAGUCCGGAAGAGGCGAGUGGAAUUCCUGGUGUAGCGGUGAAAUGCGCAGAUAUCAGGAAGAACACCUAUGGCGAAGGCAGCUCGCUGGGACGGAACUGACGCUGAGGCGCGAAAGCGUGGGGAGCAAACAGGAUUAGAAACCCCUGUAGU
rnacentral:rRNA from 1 species